rnacentral:lncRNA from 1 species
GUAUGUUCCGUAUCAAGAUGGGAAGCAGAUGAAGGCCAACUCUCUCUCAGCAUGUGAGAAUUACAAUGUUAAAACAGAGAGAGGGAGAAAAAUAAAAAAAAGUGUUUGACAUUCAUUCUCCCAUAGACGACGGCACAAAACAAUCAGUGGCUUAGAAAAAAAGUCUUACAACAUUUUGGGGGAAAAAAAUGUUUAGGAAACAUGAAUAUGACUUUCUAUUAAAAAAAAAUUCAAAAAAAAAAGAAGUAAUAGAAACAGGCGAAUAUAGUUUUAUACAAUCUUUAUUACAACUUCCUCACCAGCUGUACAUGUUCACAUUUUAAAAUUAACAACUUUUACAAGGACAGGUAACUAUGAAAUCCAUCUGAUUAAAAUGUCAUGUUCUCUUCUCAAAUGACCUCGGACUUCCUCAUUCACUGUUUGUUUCUCCCAUACAGUGUGUACAUAUUGUAUACAAGCAUCAAUAUAAACACAUGGAAAAAUCGAGAAAAAAAAAGGUUAUUUGGUAAUUCAGUUUAUGUUAAAUAAAAAUACAGAAAACAUAAAACCUGCUGAUAAGUUCUGACUGAAAAGCUUCAGUUAUUAUUGUUAUUUUUAAACAAUUAUUUUCUCCUAGAAGUUUAUUAUAGCCUGGUUAAACCAUACUGAAAACGCUGAUCGCCAUCGUUUGAAACAUUCAGUCUGGUUUAACCAGGCUAUAAAAGGUUUAUUGUCCCAAAGUUGCGGUUUCCCUGUCAAGAAUGCACAAACCGAUGUGGGGGAGCCAGGCUAGGAGACUAACCGCUGUGGAGGGGGAGCCAGGCUAGCAGACUAACCGCUGGGGGGGAGCCAGGCUAGCAGACUAACCGCUGGGGGGGGAGCCAGGCUAGCAGACUAACCGCUGUGGGGGA